GAUCAUGGACUCAAGAACGAACGCUGGCGGCAUGCCUAACACAUGCAAGUCGAACGAGACCUUCGGGUCUAGUGGCGCACGGGUGCGUAACGCGUGGGAACCUGCCUUUAGGUUCGGAAUAACAGUGAGAAAUUACUGCUAAUACCGGAUGAUGUCUUCGGACCAAAGAUUUAUCGCCUUUAGAUGGGCCCGCGUUGGAUUAGCUAGUUGGUGGGGUAAAGGCCUACCAAGGCGACGAUCCAUAGCGGGUCUGAGAGGACGAUCCGCCACACUGGGACUGAGACACGGCCCAGACUCCUACGGGAGGCAGCAGUGGGGAAUUUUGGACAAUGGGGGCAACCCUGAUCCAGCAAUGCCGCGUGAGUGAAGAAGGCCUUCGGGUUGUAAAGCUCUUUUGUCAGGGAAGAAACACCGGCUCUAACACAGUCCGGGAAUGACGGUACCUGAAGAAUAAGCACCGGCUAACUACGUG
rnacentral:rRNA from 1 species